rnacentral:rRNA from 1 species
AGCGAACGCUGGCGGCAGGCUUAACACAUGCAAGUCGAACGCUCCUAGCAAUAGGGGAGUGGCAGACGGGUGAGUAACGCGUGGGAACAUACCCUUUGGUUCGGAAUAACUCGGCGAAAGCCGUGCUAAUACCGGAUAAGCCCCUCACGGGGGAAAGAUUUAUCGCCGAAGGAUUGGCCCGCGUCCGAUUAGCUAGUUGGUGAGGUAAUGGCUCACCAAGGCGACGAUCGGUAGCUGGUCUGAGAGGAUGAUCAGCCACACUGGGACUGAGACACGGCCCAGACUCCUACGGGAGGCAGCCUGAGACUCCAAAGGCACACAGGGGAUAGG